UUCAAACUGUCAUGGGGGCCUGAGGUUCCUCAGAAGAGUCUCAGCAAUGUUUCAGUAUGAAACAAAAACAAUGGGAUACUGUGGUUCCUCGAAGACUAACACUUUUAUUACGGCAUGAGGUUUUAUGGAAUACAGUCCCCUUCAACAGAUGCUUUAAGAAUUAUACUGAGUUACAGGUAUACAGGUAGAGAGAGAGAGAGAGAGAGAGAGAGAGAGAGAGAGAGGUACCUCGGGUUAAGUACUUAAUUCGUUCCAGAGGUCCGUUCUUAGCCUGAAACUGUUCUUAACCUGAAGCACCAUUUUAGCUAAUGGGGCCUCCCGCUGCCGCCGCGCCGCCAGAGCACAAUUUCUGUUCUCAUCCUGAAGCAAAGUUCUUAACCCGAGGUAAUAUUUCUGGGUUAGCAGAGUCUGUAACCUGAAGCGUAUGUAACCUGAGGUACCACUGUAUAUAUAUAUUCUCCAGUGUGUGUGUUUGUGUGUUUGCUGUGGUCUAAAGCACAGAGCCUAGGGCUUGCCAAUCAGAAGGUUGGCGGUUCGAAUCCCCGCAACGGGGUGAGCUCCCAUUGUUCGGUCCCAGCUCCUGCCCACCCAGCAGUUCGAAAGCACGUCAAAGUGCAAAUAGAUAAACAGGUACCGCUCCAGCAGGAAGGUAAACGGCGUUUCCGUGCACUGCUCUGGUUUUGCCAGAAGCGGCUUAGUCAUGCUGGCCACAUGACCCAGAAAAACUGUCUGCGGACGAACGCCGGCUCCCUUGGCCAGUAAAGCGAGAUGAGCGCACAACCCCAGAGUCGCCUGCGACUGGACCUAAUGGUCAGGGGUACCUUGACCUUUUAAGGUACCAUAAGACUUUGUUGUCCUUGCUGAAUUCGACUACCCUUAUAAAUGUUGUCUUAAUGAGAAGAUCAGUAAUUCUGGAUAAGCUGUCUACAGCCUCCUGAUCUGCUACAAUCCUCCAUCACAGGUGAAGACCGAAUCCAGAAGAGAAGAGAGUGAAUCCCAAAAGGUCCCAGGGUUCCUUGGCAGACAGUUCAACAAAGAAAAAUAUUCCCUGAGGGCGGAAUGUUAGAAAACCACUGCUUUACACGCUGAAGAGCACCACUAGUGGGUGGAAUGAAGUCAGAACAGCUGAACUGUGGUUUGUGGUCAUCCGAGCCUGAUUCAAUGCAAGCCUG